UACAGAGGUCCCAAGCGUUGUUCGGAUUUACUGGGCGUAAAGGGUGCGUAGGUGGUCGGGUAAGUCUGAUGUGAAAUCUCGGAGCUUAACUCCGAAACUGCAUUGGAUACUAUUCGGCUUGAGGGUUGGAGGGGAGACUGGAAUUCUCGGUGUAGCAGUGAAAUGCGUAGAUAUCGAGAGGAACACCAGUGGCGAAGGCGAGUCUCUGGACAACUCCUGACACUGAGGCACGAAAGCCAGGGGAGCAAACGGG
rnacentral:rRNA from 1 species